AGCAGCCGCGGUAAUUCCAGCUCCAAUAGCGUAUAUUAAAGUUGUUGCAGUUAAAAAGCUCGUAGUUGAAUUUCGGGGUCAGCAGGUCGGUCGUGCCUACGGUAUGCACUGGCCUUGCUGAUUCCUCCCUCUUGAUGAGCCGUAAUGUCAUUAAUUUGGUGUUGCGGGGAAUCAGGACUGUUACUUUGAAAAAUUAGUGUGUUUAAAGCAGGCAAGCGCUUGAAUACAUUAGCAUGGAAUAAUGAAAUAGGACGUUCGAUCCUAUUUUGUUGGUUUCUAGGAUUGACGUAAUGAUUAAUAGGGAUAGUUGGGGGCAUUAGUAUUCAAUUGUCAGAGGUGAAAUUCUUGGAUUUAUUGAAGACUAACUACUGCGAAAGCAUUUGCCAAGGAUGUUUUCAUUAAUCAAGAACGAAAGUUAGGGGAUCGAAGACGAUCAGAUACCGUCGUAGUCUU
rnacentral:sRNA from 1 species